rnacentral:rRNA from 1 species
CCUACGGGUGGCUGCAGUCGAGAAUCAUUCACAAUGGGGGAAACCCUGAUGGUGCGACGCCGCGUGGGGGAAUGAAGGUCUUCGGAUUGUAAACCCUUGUCAUGUGGGAGCAAAUUAAAAAGAUAGUACCACAAGAGGAAGACACGGCUAACUCUGUGCCAGCAGCCGCGUUAAUACAGAGGUCUCAAGCGUUGUUCGGAAUCACUGGGCGUAAAGGGUGCGUAUGCUGUUUCGUAAGGCGUGUGUGAAAGGCGCGGGCUCAACCCGCGGACGGCACAUGAUACUGCGAGACGAGAGUGAUGGAGGGGGAAGCGGAAUUCUCGGUGUAGCAGUGAAAUGCGUAGAUAUCGAGAGGAACACUCGUGGCGAAGGCGGGUUCCUGGACAUUAACUGACGCUGAGGCACGAAGGCCAGGGGAGCGAAAGGGAUUAGAUACCCUUGUAGUC